GCUGUGUUGACACGCUCUGCACCUUGCUCCUGCCCUCGCCUUUCACUCUUCUUAUCCCCCCGAUACCCCGAUCAUUCCUGACAGCUCCUGAGUGCCUGGAUUUCAUCAUCCAGCCCUGCAGGAUGCUCCCAUUUGUCCUGAGGAAGGCUGUCCCAGACGGAGAGGAGGAGAUGGAGGUGGAUACAAAGAUUGAUAUGGAUGAGGAGAUGGAAAUUGAUGGAGAAGACUCUGGAGAGGAAGAGAUGGACGUGGAUGUGGAUGAGGAAGAGGAGAUGGAGGUUGAUAUGGAAGAGUCCAUUGAGGACAUGGACAUUGAUUAAGAAGGAACAGUGGACAUCACAGACAGGGACAUCUACA